GCAAGAUACGAGGAACUGUCGCCCGCUUACAGCCGAUGCGAGCGCUAGCGCCGGCGCUCCCGAUCCGGUGCACCUCGCUCCCCUCCCGCGCUUCUUCCUCCACCAACGCGCGGGCAAAUUCCCUGGCCUCGAUCCAGAUUGCUUCCUUGCGCGCCAAAUCGAAGAUGCCCUCCAAAUCGCCAUCUCGUCGAACCCUAAAACUGCUGCUCCAGAUCGUCCCCAAAUCGCCGCCACCAAACCCUCGAACUGACGCUGGUGCCGCAUCAAGGUGAUGGAUCAGCAGUCCAAAAGGACGUGUGUCUCAUCCCGUGCCUCAGCUCCUUCCGGCCCUGCCUCAUCCCGUCCCGCCGUCGGCCUUCCCGUCAGCAGACGGACCAGCCGCUGGGUUCCCCCACGACCACCCCUGUCAGUGGCGGCCUCCUCUGCACUAUGCUGGCUUCCUGGCCUGCAGCAACCUAGUAGCAAGUUAUUCGGCUCGUGGCCUUGCUGAGCACCUCCUGCAACCAUUGACGGUUCUACAUCUUCUUGGUACAUGGCUGAGAGUAUUGACGACUCUGAUCUGCAAGCAUGUGGCUGAAUGUUGUUGAUGUAGCUGUUCAUUUCUACUGAAGCUCCAACUAUGGAUUUGUGCCUUCAACGUCGUCAAGAUCGAACUGAUGUUUUGUUUUGCUGGAGACCGUAUUUAUUAUUUUGUUUGGUUCAUGCUUUUCUCUAAAGAGUCUUGUAUUGUUCAAGUGUUGAUGUGUUGGUGAUAUGUGCUAUUAGUUUGCCGCUCCUUGUCGUCAAGAUCAAACCUAUUUGAUUGUUUGUCGGAAAUCUUAUUUAGUAUGAUGUUUGGUUAAUGUUUUCA